GCUUCCUUUACUUAGUAAUGUCUAUUUUUGCUUUUCUUCUACCUCAUGAACCCUGUUGAGUGAUUCUUCAAAUGCUUGCAAUGCAACACCAUAAUGAUCUAGAGAAAUCACCCCCUCCUCCACAACUUGCAGAGCACUUCUAUAUAACUGGUUAAACCACUGAACCCUAUCAGUAGCAUCAACUCUACUAGAGCCGUGAUCUGGAAUAUAUAAGCGCUUGUAAUCCUUCUUCCACCGCGAUAAUAUAUACUUCGAAGGUAUCUCCUCCACCCCAUUAAAAUUAAGCACACACAACGCA
rnacentral:misc_RNA from 1 species